rnacentral:rRNA from 1 species
AUGAUCUUUGGAGAUUUUAAUGAGAUACUAGUUGCUAGCGAGAAGGAGGGUGGAAACAUCAGACCGCAACAAUAUAUGCAAAAUUUUCGAGACUGUGUGGAUGAUUGUGGUUUACAAGAAAUCAUGUCUAUAGGGGACCCUUUUACUUGGAGUAGAGGUGUGAUCAGAGAAAGGCUGGAUAGAGACUUAUGAAACGAGAAGUGGGCUGAUAUUUUUCCUUAUGCAGCGGUUAUCCAUGAACACCAUGUGCAUUCAGACCACAGACCAAUACUGCUAGAUACAGAAUAUUAUUCCGCUGUUAUGGGACAGAAGCAAAGAGGUGAAAGAAUGUUUGAAGCAAGAUGGUUGAGUGAAUCUACAGUUGAUGAAAUUGUUAAAAGCGCUUGGGAAAGAGCGAAGCUGGCAGGGAUCGGUCCUUCGCUUGCGUCCAGAACCAAGUCAGUUAAGGAUGACAUGUUCAUUUGGGACCGUGAUACACUCAAAGGUCCGAAGAAGAGAAUUAAUAAGUUGAAGAAAGAGCUAGAGAAGUUGAGAAGAUGUACACUGACAGAAGAAGUAAGAUAG